AUUGAACGCUGGCGGCAGGCUUAACACAUGCAAGUCGAGCGGGGUGAUGGUGCUUGCACUAUCACUUAGCGGCGGACGGGUGAGUAAUGCUUAGGAAUCUGCCUAUUAGUGGGGGACAACAUCUCGAAAGGGAUGCUAACACCGCAUACGUCCUACGAGAGAAAGCAGGGGAUCACUUGUGACCUUGCGCUAAUAGAUGAGCCUAAGUCGGAUUAGCUAGUUGGUGGGGUAAAGGCCUACCAAGGCGACGAUCUGUAGCGGGUCUGAGAGGAUGAUCCGCCACACUGGGACUGAGACACGGCCCAGACUCCUACGGGAGGCAGCAGUGGGGAAUAUUGGACAAUGGGGGGAACCCUGAUCCAGCCAUGCCGCGUGUGUGAAGAAGGCCUUAUGGUUGUAAAGCACUUUAAGCGAGGAGGAGGCUCUUUUGGUUAAUACCCAAGAUGAGUGGACGUUACUCGCAGAAUAAGCACCGGCUAACUCUGUGCCAGCAGCCGCAGUAA
rnacentral:rRNA from 1 species